AACGAACGCUGGCGGCAGGCUUAACACAUGCCAGUCGAACGCCCCGCCAGGGGAGUGGCAGACGGGUGAGUAACGCGUGGGAACAUACCCUUUUCUACGGAAUAGCUCUGGGAAACUGGAAUUAAUACCGUAUACGCCCUACGGGGGAAAGAUUUAUCGGGGAAGGAUUGGCCCGCGUUGGAUUAGCUAGUUGGUGGGGUAAAGGCCUACCAAGGCGACGAUCCAUAGCUGGUCUGAGAGGAUGAUCAGCCACAUUGGGACUGAGACACGGCCCAAACUCCUACGGGAGGCAGCAGUGGGGAAUAUUGGACAAUGGGCGCAAGCCUGAUCCAGCCAUGCCGCGUGAGUGAUGAAGGCCUUAGGGUUGUAAAGCUCUUUCACCGAUGAAGAUAAUGACGGUAGUCGGAGAAGAAGCCCCGGCUAACUUCGUG
rnacentral:rRNA from 1 species